ACAGCAAACAUAGAUAGAGCCAGCAAAAUGCAUAGAAACAUCACGUAUAAGCACUGCAAAAUUAAGACGGACAAGUUGAAAGCCAACUUAUAACACAAACUUUCAGUCUCCCUCUCCCUCAUCACGAUGUCGAUAGCAGAGAUCACAAAUUCAUCUAGAAAAUCCUAAAACACAGGUUUUUGUCCAUAGGGUAGAUAUAGCAGAUCGCAUCAGAUGCUAGAUAUCCAUUAAUGCCUCACAAAAUAUGAACUUUAAGCCACAAAGACAUCUCAAGGGAGCAUCCUAGUCUACUCCCAGCCUUGAGCAGGGGGUUGCACCGCGGCGUCCCAGCCAGUAGCAGCCACAACAGGAGCAGGAACGGCACCUUCCACAGCAACAGGUGCCCCUGCUGCAUCCCAUCCAUCGCCACCAGCAACUGGAGCUGGAAUUGACAACAACAAACAAAGAUGUGAUCAAUUUAAGUUGCACAACUAAAUAUUCAACUAGGCCUUAGAAUAAACUACUAUAAUUUUGGAAUGGACACUGGAAACAUGCAAUGUGUCUUAACAUUAGUCAAGACAUCAGGGCAAACUGUUGGGCAUGAACUUGUUAUAAACAACAAGCUAUAUUGAGUAAAGAUGCCACUAAUCAAAUGCCAAGUAGACUAGCACAAAUAGUUGCAUGUCUGAUACUUUUGUGUUCAGUAACUAAAAUGCCUUGCACCAACCAGAUACAUAAUCAACCUAGGAAUUAAUUAGUACUACGCAAAUGGCAAAUUCACAUCACCAAACAAAAUUCUACAGAGUUUUCAGACAAGGCAAAUGAACUUUCAAUCAAGGAGAACAAACCUUCAGCCAUCGGCCACUCGCCACCAGUAACAGGCGGGGGAGCAGGUGCAUCAGAGGUCCACUGGUCACCACCCCAUUGACCAGCUGCAGCUCCGUAAUCAGUGAUGGCAGCAUACUCUGGGGCUCCAGCAGCUUCAUCCUCCUGCUCCUUGGCUUCCUCAGGGUCCCUGUAGAAGAACAGAUCAACCUGCAAAGGGCAAACACAUUAGCCUCACAAGCAUGCAAAGAAUACAAGACAGCCACAAAGCAAGGCAAUUCAACUAGUAGGAAUCUGAAAGGUCUAUUGAGCUGGCAUACCAUGACAUCCCACUUGUGCCCAGGCAGGAUAGUACCCCUCAUCUGCAG
rnacentral:lncRNA from 1 species